rnacentral:lncRNA from 1 species
AGCUGUUCCUGCUUGAGGAAUGUGUGCUCUCAAAGCUCACAGGGCAGAUUUCCAUAUGGAAAAGGGGAUUCCCUCACUUCUGUGUGUUUUGAAGCUGUUAAGUGGGGUUGAUUGGAAACAGCAAACAGGCAACAGCUAUGUGGACCGUAUACACUCAGAUGCUCACCAACUCAACGAGGAGAGGCUUAUACCUUGGAGGAAACUGGAAGUCAAAUUUAGCCAGCAGAGACUGACAAACACAUUCUUCAGCUUCAACGCUCUCCUGUGACUGGGGCCUCCGAGGAUUUUCCUGGAAUUAUUUAUCAUAUAAACUAUUCAUUUGUUGACUCAGGCUUUAUACAAAAAUACAUGUGGAUAUCAAGUCUGUUACCAUAAAACAGACUGUAUCAGGAGUAGAUUCCUAGCAGUUCAGUUUUGCGCCGAAGGAAGUAGAAGUAACAUAUUAUUCCAUUCUCUCGUUGUGUUCUUUGUUUUCUCCUCUUCUUGUGUUUCUGUUUUUUUCUUGUCAUUCUAUUUUUUAAUUUCUUCUUGAUAUUUCUUUCUUUCUUUUUCUUGUUCUUUAUUUUGUUUCUACUUUUCCCUUUUGUUGUCUCUCUUGGUUUUCCUUUCUUUCCUUUUUAAAAAGUUGACCUUUUAAACACAGGUUUUUUUUUUUUAAGUGGUUUUUGUCUAGUCCAGAAAGUGAUUUAAUAAUAUCUAUUUAGAAAAUUAGUCUAUCUAUCACUAACUAGGACAAUGAGGUUCAAUGUCCUUGAGAUUAUAUCACAUUUGUUGAGUAAUGAUUUUCACAUAAUAACUGCUCAUUAAAUUGU